rnacentral:tRNA from 1 species
GGGGCCGUAGCUCAGCCGGGAGAGCGCGUGGUCGGCAUCCACGAGGUCACGGGUUCAAGUCCCGUCGGCUCCACCA